rnacentral:rRNA from 1 species
CCUACGGGUGGCAGCAGUGGGGAAUAUUGCACAAUGGGGGAAACCCUGAUGCAGCGACGCCGCGCGAGUGAAGAAGUAAUUCGUUAUGUAAAGCUCUAGCAGCAGGGAAGAAAAUGACGGUACCUGAGUAAGAAGACCCGGCUAACUACGUGCCAGCAGCCGCGGUAAUAAGUAGGGGGCAAGCGGUAUCCGGAUUUACUGGGUGUAAAGGGAGCGUAGAAGGCAGUGCAAGUCUGGAGUGAAAGGCGGGGGCUCCACCCCCGGACUGCUCUGGAAACUGUACGGCUGGAGUGCAGGAGAGGUAAGUGGAAUGCCUAGUGUAGCGGUGAAAUGCGUAGAUAUUAGGAGGAACACCAGUGGCGAAGGCGGCUUACUGGACUGUAACUGACGUUGAGGCUCGAAAGCGUGGGGAGCGAACAGGAUUAGAUACCCGGGUAGUC